CUGCUGAUGCAAACUACUACUAUCGAAACCCCAGAUACUGCAUAAUGUAUCACAUUGUUGCACCAACAUGAUCAGCCACAAACGAAAGUAUAUAUUCCAAGACACUUAUCAUCUCAUCCAAUGAUCCAAAUCACCAACAACUAUAGCUACCGCACCUAACUAGCAUCCGUAUACAAAUGUGAACUUAACGACUUGAGUUCCUCGACCUCGAGUAACACAACUUUUAUAGACGUAGACUUGAAAUAUGUAUACCGUGGUAAAAAUAUAAAGGCUAUAACAAGCUGUGAAAAUUUAAACAAAUAUGACCAUGAGUUUUUUUGAGUUCAAGUUCUUGAGAGAAGAGUUAAUAGUGGCUUGCCUCUUUACAUGAGAGUGAUCAGUAGUACACAAUGGACAUUACAAAAUCAUCAUGUCUUCCAAUCGUAUCAAUAGUUCCACUCGUAUCAAGGAUUGAAUCAUUGUAUCCAAGAUUCAUAUUCUAAAUAAACAACAAAAAUUCCAUACUGUAAUUGCUCAUAAAUUUAUCAGUCCAAUAUUCAAUGAUAACACAUUAAUCAAACUAAACAAAAAAAAAAACUCAAAAUCCUCGUAAUCUGUAAUGAUCAAUGAUAUCAUUA
rnacentral:lncRNA from 1 species